AUUGAACGCUGGCGGCAGGCUUAACACAUGCAAGUCGAGCGAGCGGCGGACGGGUGAGUAAUGUCUGGGAAACUGCCUGAUGGAGGGGGAUAACUACUGGAAACGGUAGCUAAUACCGCAUACCAUCAGAUGUGCCCAGAUGGGAUUAGCUAGUAGGUGGGGUAAUGGCUCACCUAGGCGACGAUCUCUAGCUGGUCUGAGAGGAUGAUCAGCCACACUGGAACUGAGACACGGCCCAGACUCCUACGGGAGGCAGCAGUGGGGAAUAUUCCGCAAUGGGCGAAAGCCUGAUGCAGCCAUGCCGCGUGAGUGAUGAAGGUCUUCGGAUCGUAAAGCACUGUCAGUAGGGAGGCGGUACCAACACAGGAAGCAACGGCUAACUACGUGCCAGCAGCCGCGGUAAUAC
rnacentral:rRNA from 1 species